AUUGAACGCUGGCGGCAUGCUUUACACAUGCAAGUCGAACGGCAGCGCGGGCUUCGGCCUGGCGGCGAGUGGCGAACGGGUGAGUAAUGCAUCGGAACGUGCCCAGUAGUGGGGGAUAGCCCGGCGAAAGCCGGAUUAAUACCGCAUACGACCUGAGGGUGAAAGCGGGGGACCGAAAGGCCUCGCGCUAUUUGAGCGGCCGAUGUCGGAUUAGCUAGUUGGUGGGGUAAAGGCUUACCAAGGCGACGAUCCGUAGCUGGUCUGAGAGGACGACCAGCCACACUGGGACUGAGACCCGGCCCAGACUCCUACGGGAGGCAGCAGUGGGGAAUUUUGGACAAUGGGGGCAACCCUGAUCCAGCCAUGCCGCGUGCGGGAAGAAGGCCUUCGGGUUGUAAACCGCUUUUGUUCGGGAAGAAAUCCUCUGGGCUAAUACCCCGGGGGGAUGACGGUACCGGAAGAAUAAGCACCGGCUAACUACGUG
rnacentral:rRNA from 1 species